UCCAAAACUCCCGAAAACUCUCACAAACCGAACCAGGGAGUUGCAACGAUAGCCGCUCAAAAAGACAUCUAUGGGUCCAACGACGUGCAGGGGAGAAGAGGAGAAAUUGGAGCCACGAUGGGAAGCUUGCUGAGAAGGUAUUGCGAAUAAAGCUUGUUUAACACCCUCGUCGAGUCUUUCUCCCACUUCUGAUCCAAUCCGAAACCCUCAAAUAAGACGAACCAAAGGCAAAACAGAAGAGAAACGCGAUGCAGCCGCAGUUGGAGCUAGCUGAGAACUCAAUGACGUGAUCACGGCGUACAUAGACCCGAAACUCCCAUUUUUCUCCUCCCGUCUCUCUCCUGCCUGAAACCACUGAGGAAGGAUUCAGGUUAAAUUCUGCUUAAAUCCUGCUAACAAACUGCCCAAGAAGUGAGCGAGCAGGGGAAAAGAGCACUAGUCGGAGUAGUUGAUGGGAAUUUGCAGCGGCAGCUGGUGAGUUCAAGGGGCUUCACCUAGGGAGGUAAAGAUGCCAUAGCUAUUCUCUCCUCUUCCCAUUCCUUAAGCACUUAUUCACUAGUUUGGAUUAUGGUGAGGGUGCUCAGAGUUGAAUCUUUCUAUGCUCUUCUACGAGAUGCUGCAUCGGCCUCUUCUUUUUCCCCACUUCUCAUCUUUCCAUCAGCAUCAGAUGCCGAUUCUCUCUGUGCCCUUAGGAUCAUAACUCACAUCCUCUCAUCUGAUUCUAUCCGCUACUCUGUCUACCCUGUAUCCUCGUUCGGUGACAUUGAAAAUUUCGCUGGUCUCAAUAUCCAUAGUUCCCGUGAGAGGUUAUCUCUGCUUCUCAUUAACUGGGGCUGUCACCGUGACCUCCACCGAAUUCUGAAGCUCAGCUCUGAAGUUCGUGUCUUUGUCAUUGAUAGUCACCGUCCAAUUCAUCUCCACAAUCUAAGUAGGCAGAAUGAGCAGAUUAUUGUCCUUUAUACUGAGGACGAUGAGCAUCAUGCAGAUUUGAUUUAUGAUUUUGAUGUGUCUGCUCUGGCGAAUGCCUCCGAUCUGAAUAGUGAUGAUGAGAUUGGUGAGGACAGUGAUAGUGAUGAUGACAGUGAAAACGAAGUGGAUGAGGAGAAUGUUAAGCGCCGUAGGCUUUCAGAAGAGUCCGUAUCAGACCCAGUCAGACUCUAUGGGAAGCUGAAGUCCGAGUAUUACAAAUUGGGAACUUUUUAUGGAAAGCCUGCCGGUUGUUUGAUGUUUGACCUUGCUCAUUCCCUCAGAAAGAACACAAAUGAGCAGCUCUGGUUAGCUUGUGUUUCCCUCACAGAUCAGUUCGUACAUGAAAGGCUGACCAAUGAAAGGUAUCAAGCUGGGGUGAUGGAACUUGAGCAGUACAUUAACAUCUCAGGAAACCUGGAAACAAUCACUUCGGUGACACUAAAAGAUGGCACACAGAUUCAAGCACCAGAAAACUCUAGGAUUUUCUAUGAAGAUGAACCACGGCUCAUGCUUCUUAGGGAGUGGAAUUUGUUUGAUUCAAUGCUUUGUUCUUCUUAUACUGCAACCAAAUUGAAAACUUGGAGUGACAAUGGUCUAAAGAAACUCAAGCUUCUACUUGCCAGAAUGGGUUUCUCUCUUGUGGACUGCCAGAAGAAGUUCCAGUACAUGAGCAUGGAAGUCAAGCAACGGAUGAAAGACGAGUUUGAUCACUUCUUACCUGAAUAUGGAUUAACAGAGUUUUACUAUCGCAGUUUUCUUAGAAUCCAUGGGUACUGCUCAAAAUUCUCCGCAGCUGAUGUAGUUUAUGGGGUCACAGCACUGCUUGAAUCAUUGGUAGGAACUAGGAAGGACACAUCAGUUGGCGAGCAAUUUUGGGUUGCUUACUCUGCACUUUCUUUGAACAAUCUAGAUCAGCUUAGAAAAGGAAUGCAGAAUGCCAUUGAGAUACAGAGGGCUAUUCUCAGACAGGGGAGCUCCGCCAUGACAAAGAGUGGAUUUAUCAGAAGUGGCAGAAGAUUUCGCUGGGUAAAGCUCGAAGAUCCUGUUGAUACUGAGCGGCUUCAUUACCCACAGGCUCUCACCAAAUUCUGUUAUUUUCUGAUGGAUGCUUUAAAGGAAAGAGGUGCAAAGAUGAAGCCUUUGAUCUGCGCCUGUUUGGCAAAGGAGCCUGGCAAGGUCUUAAUAGUUGGGGUUUGCAGUAAACCACGACUUGGGGCUAUUCAAGGUAACUCAUUUGGAAUAAUAUUUAGAAAAGCUGCUGAAGAAAUUGAUGAAGAGUACUCCCAUGAAUUGUUUGAAUCUUCAUGGAUUCUCUUAGAUAGUGUGGCAGUUAGCUCUUUUAUGAUUAGAUUGGCUGAGAAACUUUGAUAUGUUAAUACUUCAGGAUAUGUUGAAGAUGAGCAUCCACCGUAAGCUUUUUAAAGUUUUGGAUGAGUGUUUGCGGCAGCCUAAAGUUUGCGGGCCACGAGAUCGACCCCGCGGCCGGCGUUCGCGAUUGUUAAUAUGCACCGCUCGAAGCUUGCCCUAACCUCUGGCGUUCCUGAAACCGUGCGGAGAAAUUUUCUCCCUAGCAUCGAGCGUUACAAAUGUUUCUGGCGCCAAAGUUGUUUGUUGCAGAUCUUGAACUUGAAGAGCGAUCAAAAUUGCAACUCAAGAGUGAUCAAAGUUCUUUGUUGCAGAUCUUGAACUUCUCCAAAUUUGUUUAUUUUUUGGGUCCACUUGAAGAGCUUUACAAAUGUUUUCUGCGCCAAAGUUCUUUUUAUGCUCGAUUUCUGUUUCAGGAUGACUACUUGUUAAAUUAAAUUGAUCAGCCAUCUCUCGCUGAGCUCCAUGGGAUGAAUGAUUAGGCUUCUAAUUUCUAGCUUGUGUUGUUUACAACUCAAAUUUUGAUGCUCUGGUUCUGAGCGUCUUCUUUUGAAUCGGUUAGUUUAUACUUUGCGCCAUUUUGUAAUAGCCAGAAAGCUUCUUCUGGCUUUAUUCUCUCUGCUCCAUAGUGGGUGUUCUUCAAAGUUGAGAGCUUUAUUAUCAGAGUACUAAAGCAUUACAGCAGCUAGAAAACCGCAGAGAUAUAUAAAAUCAAAUCAAGAAACAAACUCUUCUUUUGUAUAAAGUUUAAGAUCUUCAUUCUGUAAGCUUCAAGCAUAGGAAUGAAGGAGCAAUUGGUUCUGAUUCACUUUUUAAUGGAAUGAAAGCCCUGCAAGGGUAUGAUGGUUGAUGGAGAAGAAGUAGACUAUUCAAGCUGCCAUCUUUUAACAAAUCCAGACUUAUCAAACAGUGGGAACAUCAAUGUGCUGUUUAAAAAUAUAUACCAGGACAUGUACACUAACACCCAGAUGCUUGCCGCCUCUGAAGGAGAUCUAGGGGAUGGAAAGGAGCUGAAGAAGCCAGUCAGGAAGUCACUGAGGAACAAAGAGGCUGUUCGGAAAUAUAUAGAGAAGAAGAAGGCGCUUGCAGCUUACAGGAAGAAGUGAAAAAGCUGCGUUUUCAUACUUCCGCUUUUAGCCUUUUCACCUUGCAGAAAUUUCCGCUUUUUCACCUUCUUAUUUUUGGAAGGAUAUUCUUCCAAUAUUUCUUGGUUCUUCUCCUUCCUGCCUGAGUCCUUGUUCUUUUGUUCAAUAGCCAUCACCAACAUUUUGAUCUGACAAAGAUCUGUAAUUAGAAAAAAGACAGUUCAUUUACAAUUCGUAGUACACCAAGCUUAGAGGUGUACUUCAUCAAUGUAAAUACCUAAGAUUGUCUCCCAAAAUUACAAUUUGGGCCUGCACUGUCUUGUGUACUAUUGUAUGUAGUGUCAAUAGCAUUGCCUCAACUAUCAUUUCUAUCA